UACGAAGGGUGCAAGCGUUACUCGGAAUUACUGGGCGUAAAGCGUGCGUAGGUGGUUUGUUAAGUCUGUUGUGAAAGCCCCGGGCUCAACCUGGGAAUGGCAAUGGAUACUGGCAAGCUAGAGUGCGGUAGAGGGUAGUGGAAUUCCCGGUGUAGCGGUGAAAUGCGUAGAGAUCGGGAGGAACACCAGUGGCGAAGGCGGCUACCUGGACCAGCACUGACGCUGAGGUGCGAAAGCGUGGGUAGCAAACAGG
rnacentral:rRNA from 1 species